UCGCAGCCGGCCUGGUGGGCGACGUCAUUUCCGCUGUCGAAUUGGGCGAGCGCGUCUAAGUCGAUGGUUCCGCUCAUCGCUGUUGC
rnacentral:tRNA from 2 species